rnacentral:rRNA from 1 species
GACGAACGCUGGCGGCAGGCCUAAUACAUGCAAGUCGAACGGUGUCUUCGGACAUAGUGGCGCACGGGUGCGUAACACGUAUGCAACCUACCUUACAUUGGGGGAUAGCCUUUCGAAAGGGAGAUUAAUACCGCAUAAGACAGUAGCUGGGCAUCCAGCAGCUGUUAAAGAUUUAUCGAUGUAAGCUGGGCAUGCGUCCAAUUAGCUAGUUGGUGAGGUAACGGCUCACCAAGGCAAUGAUUGGUAGGGGAACUGAGAGGUCAAUCCCCCACACUGGCACUGAGAUACGGGCCAGACUCCUACGGGAGGCAGCAGUAGGGAAUAUUGGGCAAUGGACGCAAGUCUGACCCAGCCAUGCCGCGUGCAGGAUGAAGGCGUUAUGCGUUGUAAACUGCUUUUAUACAGGAAGAAACGACUCUUGCGAGAGGCAUUGACGGUACUGUAUGAAUAAGCACCGGCUAACUCCGUGCCAGCCGCCGCGGUAAUAC